rnacentral:rRNA from 1 species
UAGGGAAUCUUCGGCAAUGGGGGGAACCCUGACCGAGCAACGCCGCGUGAGUGAAGAAGGUUUUCGGAUCGUAAAGCUCUGUUGUUAAGGAAGAACGAGUGUGAGAAUGGAAAGUUCAUGCUGUGACGGUACUUAACCAGAAAGGGACGGCUAACUACGUGCCAGCAGCCGCGGUAAUACGUAGGUCCCGAGCGUUGUCCGGAUUUAUUGGGCGUAAAGCGAGCGCAGGCGGUUAGAAAAGUCUGAAGUGAAAGCCCCCGGCUCAACCGGGGAGGGUCAGUGGAAACUGGUUUACUUGAGUGCGGAAGAGGAGAGUGGAAUUCCAUGUGUAGCGGUAAAAUGCGUAGAUAUAUGGAAGAACACCAGUGGCGAAGGCGACUCUCUGGUCUGUAACUGACGCUGAGGCUCGAAAGCGUGGGUAGCAAACAGG